rnacentral:rRNA from 1 species
AAUAGAUACCCGGGUAGUCCCAGCCGUAAACGAUGCUUGCUAGGUGUCUGGGAUGGUGCGACCGUUUCAGGUGCCGCAGGGAAGCCGUGAAGCGAGCCACCUGGGAAGUACGGCCGCAAGGCUGAAACUUAAAGGAAUUGGCGGGGGAGCACUACAACGGGUGGAGCCUGCGGUUUAAUUGGACUCAACGCCGGAAAACUCACCUGGGGCGACAGCAAUAUGUAGGUCAGGCUGAAGGUCUUACCUGAAUCGCUGAGAGGAGGUGCAUGGCCGUCGUCAGUUCGUACUGUGAAGCAUCCUGUUAAGUCAGGCAACGAGCGAGACCCGUGCCCACUGUUGCCAGCAUAUCCUUCGGGAUGAUGGGUACUCUGUGGGGACCGCGCUGCUAAAGCGGAGAAGGUGCGGGCUACGGUAGGUCAGUAUGCCCCGAAUCUCCAGGGCUACACGCGGGCUACAAUGACCCGGGGACAAAUGGGGUCCCCUACCCCGAAAGGGGUUGGUAAUCGUCAUAAAACCCCGGGCCUUAGUUCGGAUCGAGGGCUGCAACUCG